GUGAAUCAUCGAAUUUUUGAACGCAAAUUGCACUCUCCGGUUUUCCGGGGGAGUAUGCCUGUUUGAGGGCCUGUUUAAAAAAUAAUCGAGGCUGCUGCUGUGGUGGCUCUUCGCAAUUGGGUCAACUUUCACCUUUCGGUUGUAAGCGACCUAAAAUCUUUUUUACGAUCGCAACGAACGUGUCUAAGAAUUGCUUGUACGUUAACGACGUCGAAAU
rnacentral:misc_RNA from 1 species